CCUACGGGUGGCAGCAGUGGGGAAUAUUGCACAAUGGGGGAAACCCUGAUGCAGCGACGCCGCGUGAGUGAAGAAGUAUUUCGGUACGUAAAGCUCUAUCAGCAGGGAAGAAAAUGACGGUACCUGACUAAGAAGCCCCGGCUAACUACGUGCCAGCAGCCGCGGUAAUACGUAGGGGGCAAGCGUUAUCCGGAUUUACUGGGUGUAAAGGGAGCGUAUACGGACGGGCAAGUCUGGAGUGAAAUCCCAUGGCUUAACCAGGGAACUGCUUUGGAUACUGUGGAGCUAGAGUGCAGGAGAGGUAAGCGGAAUUCCUAGUGUAGCGGUGAAAUGCGUAGAGAUUAGGAGGAACACCAGUGGCGAAGGCGGCUUACUGGACUGUAACUGACGUUGAGGCUCGAAAGCGUGGGGAGCAAACAGGAUUAGAUACCCUUGUAGUC
rnacentral:rRNA from 1 species